UUUGGGAGUAGCGCAUCUAAAAUAGAUUGAGGCUCCCUUUUGGUUCCGAUUCUGGUAACAGAUUCGUGUCACCGAAGUUAAAAUCCGAACCAAAUACCUCCAUCCAUGGAAGCCAUUCCCAAAAAUCUACCGAUUCCGGCCGUUCAACGUGGAAUCGGUGCCACCCAGAUUUCUACCGAUUCCACCGCCUAUUUACCCGCGUGCCACUGGUAAAGCGAGCACGGAUUCGUUUCUAUUUCUUCCGCCUCCCUGUUUCUUCCCCACGAGGCCAUCUUCCCCACCGACGCGCCGCCCGCCGCCCCCGGGCCAGCCCCGGGGCGGGUUGCGCGGAGCCGCAGAGCGGGCGAAGCGGCUCAGCGCGGGGGAGCAGCACGGCGCGGGCGAAACGACUCGGGAAGAGCGGCGCGGCGCGGCGCGGGUAGAGCGGCACGGCCAGAGCAGCGCUGGCGGGGUGGGGCGGAGCAGGCGCAGGCGAGCGCGCGGCGGAGCCGCACCGCGUAUCUGGAAUCAGGGCGAGGCACCAGCCUUUUCCCAGGAAUCCGUUUCUGCUGCUGCAUCCCCACUUCUCCGCCGGAUCGCUGCAAGAUUCUCGGACAUGUCGGACUCUGAGGAGCACCACUUCGAGUCCAAGGCCGACGCCGGCGCCUCCAAGACCUACCCGCAGCAGGCCGGGACCAUCCGCAAGAACGGAUACAUCGUCAUCAAGAACCGCCCCUGCAAGGUUGUUGAGAUCUCUACUUCCAAGACUGGGAAGCAUGGCCAUGCCAAGUGCCACUUUGUCGGCAUUGUCAUUUUCAAUGGAAAGAAGCUUGAGGAUAUUGUUCCUUCAUCUCACAACUGUGACGUUCCACAUGUUGACCGCACUGAGUAUCAGCUGAUUGACAUUUCUGAAGACGGAUACGUUAGCCUUUUGACGGAGAAUGGCAACACUAAGGAUGACCUGAAGCUUCCCAAUGAUGAAAAUCUGCAAGCCCAGGUAUCCAGUAGGAAAGAAAGGAGGAAGUACCGGGAGAACAAGACGUGCAGAUUUGAAGCAGAUCACGUAGAUAAAGCAGGACAAAGUAAAUACUUAUGUGGAGUCAUGUUGUGCAGCCGAUUUUGUGUGGACAUACGUACCUUUGUCUAUUUGCAUCGAUCUGUUUUGUUCUUUGCUGUACAAUUUCGCAUUCGCUUUGAAUGGGGGGCAGAUUUGCUUUUGGUUUUGUGCCGUAUGGGAGACGCGAGACGCGCUGGUUUCUAGUAUUUCUAAAAAUAGCAUGGCCGUACGGGGAACCUAUAAUACGGCCGGCCGUAAGUUAGCGUGUUACAAGACGAUGCUUUUGAGAAAUGUGAUGAAGAUGAGAACUAUAUACCGCGAGAUGAGGACGACACCGAGGAAUAAGAAGAAGUGGCGCAACCACAAGUGGAUGAAAUUCUUGAGGAGGAGAAUGAGGUUACCAUGAACACUGUUCGUGAUAACAUAGCUAAUGCUUUGGAAUCCACGGCUGAACCAAACACGACCUGAAUUGCUGGGGAGACGAGGAGGCUGCAAAGGUCGUUUCUAUUAAAUGGGGGCGUGCGCAGGGGAGUGGGCCAGGUUUUGCGUUUGUCCAGCUAUGCGAUGCUAAAAGGGUGU